rnacentral:misc_RNA from 1 species
GAUGAUGAUGAUGAUGAUGAUAACCAUUAGGAAACUAAUUUUGUAGAUGCAUGUGCUCUUUCAUUCUAUUCCAUACUUGUUUGGUUGCAUCUUUAUUUACCAAUCACAAACAGUAUAGAUAUGAGUUUGUCCAAUAUCAUUUGUACAUUUCAAAGAAGUAAAAUAAAAUUAAAUAAAAAAAAUGUUUUAUUAGCUCAAAGGAAAAUUGCCUACGUGAUGCUGCAGCUAUGUGAUUGAUUUUUUAAUGCGCUAGCAUGGAAGUGUGAUGAGUUUGCGGUGGAAUGAGUGAAAAGGAAAAGAGAGAGACCUAACACUAUGUUUAAGAGGAGUAUAACAAGAUAAGGUAAAGUUUUUUUAAAAUAAGGUAAAGUAAAAUAAUAGAAGGUAAGGUAAGGUUUUUAAAGGAAGGUAUAAUAAAUGAUGGUUCACUAAUCUUAUGUUGUUUGGAUCAAAAGUUCACUAACUUUAUGUUAUUUGGAUUAAAGGUAUGAGAAGGUAAGAUAAAGUAUACAAAAUAUAAAAUACAAAUAUAAUCUUAUAAUGUAAAAAAGAAAGAGUUGUGUUUUAAUAUUUAAAGUGAUUAUAACUCAACUCAACUCAA